rnacentral:rRNA from 1 species
CGGGACGGGUGAGUAAUGUCUAGGGAAACUGCCUGAUGGAGGGGGAUAACUACUGGAAACGGUAGCUAAUACCGCAUAACGUCGCAAGACCAAAGAGGGGGACCUUCGGGCCUCUUGCCAUCGGAUGUGCCCAGAUGGGAUUAGCUAGUAGGUGGGGUAAAGGCUCACCUAGGCGACGAUCCCUAGCUGGUCUGAGAGGAUGACCAGCCACACUGGAACUGAGACACGGUCCAG